GCGGGAGGAGCGGCCGUGAGGGUGCGCGGGGCGGGCGGCGCUGCUGCCGGCGGGACAGCGAGAGGGACCGAGUGCUCCUGUUCUUCUUUGCAUGAACUGUCUUGAUAGGAAAGCCUCUAGAAGGGUUUCAGUCCUAGGGUUAUCUCCUCCCUGAAGCAAUUACAACCUUCAGCUUUUUAGGAGCCAAACCCAAAUUUGUCUCUUCAGCUCUUCAGUCUGCUGAGUGAAAGUAUGUUUGCCUCGAGUUAACUGAGAAAUCAAGGACUCCUUCUCCUCCAGUUGCCGAAUGCCUUUUGAGUUCCUCAAUCUGUUGUGUGAAAGCCUGUUUGCCUCUUGACAGCUGAGAAAUGAGGGCAUCUUUCUCAUCCACCUGGCGUGAAUAUUCACCUGGGAGUGUUCAGACUCUGCACUCUUCAGCAAGGGCUUAAUCUUGAAGAACAGCUUCAUCCAUGGCCAGUGUUUGACAUUCAUAAAUGAACGAACGUUGUACUGGAUGCAGAAGAUGGAUUCUCUGAAAGGUAGCCCCUACACAUGGCCUGGGUGCGGGUGAUGAGCUGUGCCAGCUUCUCAUCCCUCAUCUCCUCCAGGAGUCCCAGCAGCCCAGCUUUGAAGAACACCUUGAGAGAGAGAAUGUUGCAGCACAUCACUGUCAGCUAUAGAACAAACCUGGAUGACUCACUUGGAAAAUUUUGUGUACCUAAAGAAUGAUUAUUCUACAGUACCCGGAAGAGAGCCGAGACGGUCUGGAAAGAAGAACCCUUCUUCUUGGCACCCUUCUUGCCACCACCACCACUGCUUUCUAAAAAGUUCCCAUAGUGCAUGACAGCCCCUGUCAGCUUGUAGAUGGCUGUUUUCUCAUCAGCAGUGAAGCCCAGGAUGUCAAUGGCACUCUAACAAAACAGUUGUUAAGAUCUGGCAAGGAUGGUAGGACACAGUCAAGAACAAGAAGUGGGGAAGGCUGGAAGGAAGGGGAUUAAGCCAGAGGGUGUCUUACAUGUUUCAAUGUCAGCAGAAGCCAGUUUGCCUGUGGCACCGAAAUGGAUUCUGAUGAAUUUACCCUGAAAGCAGCAGGAAAGUCAAUUGAGACUUAUUUUACCAAUCUGGAUAUCAAUAAUAUUCAAACUGGUGUUGACAGUUGUCACAAGUAACAACUUACAAAGCGUGAGGAGUUGUCGUUCCUCACGGUCUUGGCAUUUCCAAAGGCCUCCAGCAGUGGGUUGGCACUGAUGAUUUGAUCCUCAAGUGUCCCCUGAAACAGAAGUCUUCUUGUCACGAUCUAGCUCAUCAAGAAAUUGUGUAGCUGCUGGUGUUUAGUCCUGGGACCUCACCUGCAUUUUGCCUGAUGGCUGCUGCUCCUCUUUCUUCUUGUCUCCACUGGCUGCAAUUGUUGCAAAGUACUGGAUGACACGCUUUGUGUUCACAGUCUUCCCGGCCCCGGAUUCUCCGCUGCCAAAGCCAAGAGAGAAGCAGAGGGUGCAUGGUCAGGCAGGAGGUGCCCUGGCACCAGGCAGCCCUGCAGGGACCCGCACAGGGGGUGUACGUACGUGAUCAGGAUGGACUGGUUCUCCCGAUCUGUGAAGAGACAGAAACAAAUGGACUUUGCAAAUGAAGAACACAGAAGGACUGAAAAUGAAUGUUCUAUCAAGACAAAGCAGAACAGUUGUGGCCUGAUGCUUAGGAUGAGAACUACUCACCAGUCAGCAUGAACUGAUAGGCGUUGUCAGAGAUGGAGAAGAUGUGUGGAGGGGCCUCCUGGCGCUUCUUGCCUCGUCUUGACAGUGAUUUUUCCUGGUUCCCUGCUCGUGAUUGUGCUCUUCACGUAGGACUCCUUUGCAUGUACCACAAAGACAGAUGACUUGGCAUCAAAAGGUUUAUUCUGGGCCUCAAUUCUCUCCUUCUCUGACUUUCGGAGUCCCAGCAUAGGAAGGACAUGGAGCUGUUGGAGUGA